AAACUAUUUUUUUAUUUCUCUCCUCUCUCCUCUCUUGUUUUCUCCGAAGCUCGACUUCGGCGGAUCAAAUUCUUCAUCGUCUCUUUUCUUAACAUGUCUCUCUUCUCAUUAUCUUAUCACGAUCCACAAGAUUCGUGAUCGAAGAGGUGUCGAAAAAUCCACCGGAAGAGCUACUCUUACCGGCUUUGCUGAGGUCAACGAUGUGACGAUGUUUUUCGGUGGCUUGGUUAGAAUGUUGAUGCUCAUAGGAUCCUGCUUGUGGGUUCGUCUGCUGUGAUGGUCUGAUAAGAUGAGAAUGGAGUAAGAAGAGUAGCAUAAUUUUGGUCGAGGUUACUUGGAGCAGUUGCAGCAAUGGGUUUUGGUCGAAGUUACUUGGAUCGAUUGCAUUACUUGUAUAAAAGAGACCACAUGUUUUACGUCACCACAAGUUUGUACUUUGGUUUGAAUGCUUGUACACCACAAAAUUAUAUUCCGAACACUAGUUCUUAUUGUGUAUUCUAUGACAUUACUUGUAUGCUAAACAAUAAUUUUAUUUUCAUUGUUCU